rnacentral:rRNA from 1 species
CGAAAGGGGCAGUAAGGCGUGGGUAACCUACCCCGGGGAUGGGGAUAGCCAUUCUAACGAGUGGGUAAUACCCGGCGAGGUGACGGGACCGCAUGGCCCUGUCAUGAAAGGAAUUUCGCCUCGGGAGGGGCUCACGUGGUAUUAGCUAGUUGGUGAGGUAACGGCUCACCAAGGCCGAGAUGCCUAGCGGGUGUGAGAGCACGACCCGCGCCACUGGCACUGAGACACUGGCCAG